AGAGUUUGAUCAUGGCUCAGGAUGAACGCUGGCGGCGUGCUUAACACAUGCAAGUCGAACGAUGAUCCGGUGCUUGCGCCGGGGAUUAGUGGCGAACGGGUGAGUAACACGUGAGUAACCUGCCCUUGACUCUGGGAUAAGCCUGGGAAACUGGGUCUAAUACCGGAUAUGACUCCUCAUCGCAUGGUGGGGGGUGGAAAGCUUUUUGUGGUUUUGGAUGGACUCGCGGCCUAUCAGCUUGUUGGUGGGGUAAUGGCCUACCAAGGCGACGACGGGUAGCCGGCCUGAGAGGGUGACCGGCCACACUGGGACUGAGACACGGCCCAGACUCCUACGGGAGGCAGCAGUGGGGAAUAUUGCACAAUGGGCGAAAGCCUGAUGCAGCGACGCCGCGUGAGGGAUGACGGCCUUCGGGUUGUAAACCUCUUUCAGUAGGGAAGAAGCCCUCUUUGGGGGUGACGGUACUUGCAGAAGAAGCGCCGGCUAACUACGUGCCAGCAGCCGCGGUAAUACGUAGGGCGCAAGCGUUAUCCGGAAUUAUUGGGCGUAAAGAGCUCGUAGGCGGCUUGUCGCGUCUGCUGUGAAAGACCGGGGCUCAACUCCGGUUCUGCAGUGGGUACGGGCAGACUAGAGUGCAGUAGGGGAGACUGGAAUUCCUGGUGUAGCGGUGAAAUGCGCAGAUAUCAGGAGGAACACCGAUGG
rnacentral:rRNA from 1 species